rnacentral:lncRNA from 1 species
UCUCCUCUUCCUCCUCUACUCCAUCUUUUUUGAGAGAGUCUGUGAUAAACAAGAUUGAGAUCAACAUCAUCACUAUCAGAAGGUGGCUUCUACAAGGGCGCUAGCAUCUCGAUGAAGCAAUGGACCUCUGAUCAGAUCGAAAGUUUCGUAUGGAUACUCAUAGAGGUCGGACAUGCAUGCAGCUCUAUAAGAACCUCAUCAAAUUACCACAAUCAUCA